AUUGAACGCUGGCGGCAUGCCUUACACAUGCAAGUCGAACGGCAGCACGGGUGCUUGCACCUGGUGGCGAGUGGCGAACGGGUGAGUAAUACAUCGGAACAUGUCCUGUAGUGGGGGAUAGCCCGGCGAAAGCCGGAUUACUACCGCAUACGAUCCACGGAUGAAAGCGGGGGACCUUCGGGCCUCGCGCUAUAGGGUUGGCCGAUGGCUGAUUAGCUAGUUGGUGGGGUAAAGGCCUACCAAGGCGACGAUCAGUAGCUGGUCUGAGAGGACGACCAGCCACACUGGGACUGAGACACGGCCCAGACUCCUACGGGAGGCAGCAGUGGGGAAUUUUGGACAAUGGGCGAAAGCCUGAUCCAGCAAUGCCGCGUGUGUGAAGAAGGCCUUCGGGUUGUAAAGCACUUUUGUCCGGAAAGAAAUCCUUGACUCUAAUACAGUCGGGGGAUGACGGUACCGGAAGAAUAAGCACCGGCUAACUACGUG
rnacentral:rRNA from 1 species